UACGAAGGGGGCUAGCGUUGUUCGGAAUACUGGGCGUAAAGGGCUCGUAGGCGGCCAACUAAGUCAGACGUGAAAUCCCUCGGCUUAACCGGGGAACUGCAUCUGAUACUGGAUGGCUUGAGUUCGGGAGAGGGAUGCGGAAUUCCAGGUGUAGCGGUGAAAUGCGCAGAUAUCAGGAGGAACACCGGUGGCGAAGGCGGGUCUCUGGGCCGUAACUGACGCUGAGGAGCGAAAGCGUGGGGAGCGAACAGG
rnacentral:rRNA from 1 species